rnacentral:rRNA from 1 species
UACGGAGGGUCCAAGCGUUAUCCGGAAUCAUUGGGUUUAAAGGGUCCGUAGGCGGUUUUGUAAGUCAGUGGUGAAAGCCCAUCGCUCAACGGUGGAACGGCCAUUGAUACUGCAAGACUUGAAUUAUUGGGAAGUAACUAGAAUAUGUAGUGUAGCGGUGAAAUGCUUAGAGAUUACAUGGAAUACCAAUUGCGAAGGCAGGUUACUGCCAAUAUAUUGACGCUGAUGGACGAAAGCGUGGGGAGCGAACAGG